UACAGAGGGUGCAAGCGUUAAUCGGAUUUACUGGGCGUAAAGCGCGCGUAGGUGGCCAAUUAAGUCAAAUGUGAAAUCCCCGAGCUUAACUUGGGAAUUGCAUUCGAUACUGGUUGGCUAGAGUAUGGGAGAGGAUGGUAGAAUUCCAGGUGUAGCGGUGAAAUGCGUAGAGAUCUGGAGGAAUACCGAUGGCGAAGGCAGCCAUCUGGCCUAAUACUGACACUGAGGUGCGAAAGCAUGGGGAGCAAACAGGAUUAGAUACCCUGGUAGUC
rnacentral:rRNA from 1 species